rnacentral:rRNA from 1 species
GAUGAACGCUGGCGGCGUGCCUAAUACAUGCAAGUCGAGCGAACAGACGAGGAGCUUGCUCCUCUGACGUUAGCGGCGGACGGGUGAGUAACACGUGGAUAACCUACCUAUAAGACUGGGAUAACUUCGGGAAACCGGAGCUAAUAACGGCUAAUAUAUUGAACCGCAUGGUUCCAUAGUGAAAGACGGUUUUGCUGUCACUUAUAGAUGGAUCCGCGCCGCAUUCGCUAGUUGGUAAGGUAAGGGCUUACCAACGCAACGAUGCGUAGCCGACCUGAGAGGGGGAGCAGCCACACUGGAACUGAGACACGGUCCAGUCUCCUACGGGAGGCAGCAGUAGGGAAUCUUCCGCAAUGGGCGAAAGCCUGACGGAGCAACGCCGCGUGAGUUAUGAAGGUCUUCGGAUCGUAAAACUCUGUUAUUAGGGAAGAACAAAUGUGUAAGUAACGAUGCACGUCUUGACGGUACCUAAUCAGAAAGCCACGGCUAACUACGUG